UCUCACGCUGGCGGCGUGCCUACACACGCAAUUCGAAGCGGAAGAAAGUUCUUCGGAGCCCUCUUAGCGGCGGACGGGUGAGUAACACGUGGGUAACCUGCCUUAUAGAGGGGGAUAGCCUUCCGAAAGGAAGAUUAAUACCGCAUAAUAUUUUCGUUUCGCAUGAAAUGAAAAUCAAAGGAGCAAUCCGCUAUAAGAUGGACCCGCGGCGCAUUAGCUAGUUGGUGAGGUAAUGG
rnacentral:rRNA from 1 species